rnacentral:rRNA from 1 species
AGAGAGAGACAUGCGCGCAUAUCAAUAAGCGGAGGAAAAGAAACUAACUAGGAUUCCCUCAGUAACGGCGAGUGAAGCGGGAAGAGCUCAAAUUUGAAUCUUCAAGGUUCUACCUUGACGAAUUGUAGUUUAAAGAAGUGUUUUCUGUUGGAGUUUUGGUAAAAGUUCUUUGGAAUAGGACAUCAUAGAGGGUGAGAAUCCCGUAUUUGACCAUUAUUUCCAGCUUUGUGAUACACUUUCAAAGAGUCGGAUUGUUUGGGAAUGCAGUCCAAAAUGGGUGGUAAAUUUCAUCUAAAGCUAAAUACUGGCGAGAGACCGAUAGCGAACAAGUACCGUGAGGGAAAGAUGGAAAGAACUUUGAAAAGAGAGUUAAACAGUACGUGAAAUUGUCAAAAGGGAAGCGUUUGACACCAGUGUUGUAUUCUCGAAAAUCAAUUAAAAAAGGCAGGAUUUUGUGUUGUAUUGACUUUAUCAGCUUUCUGCACUCUUUUCUUGUCUUUUUUAAUGCACUUUUCGUUUAACAAGUCAACAUCAAUUUCUUUUGUUGUAAAAGGGUCAUUGGAAGGUGGCUUUCUUUUCGGAGAAAGUGUUUAUAGCCUUUGGCCUCUGCAAUCGGAGAGAUUGAGGUCUGCAGCGUAGAUCCUUCGGGGUUAGAUACAUUUGUGCUAAGUUAUAGCCUUUCAUAGACAACUUGUUGACUAUGAUCAGUCAUGUAGCUUACUCGCUUAUGUUAUUUUACCUACGCUUAGGAUGUUGAUGUGAUACUGCGAGCA